rnacentral:rRNA from 1 species
AAAUUGAAGAGUUUGAUCAUGGCUCAGAUUGAACGCUGGCGGCAGGCCUAACACAUGCAAGUCGAACGGUAACAGGAAACAGCUUGCUGUUUCGCUGACGAGUGGCGGACGGGUGAGUAAUGUCUGGGAAACUGCCUGAUGGAGGGGGAUAACUACUGGAAACGGUAGCUAAUACCGCAUAACGUCGCAAGACCAAAGAGGGGGACCUUCGGGCCUCUUGCCAUCAGAUGUGCCCAGAUGGGAUUAGCUAGUAGGUGGGGUAACGGCUCACCUAGGCGACGAUCCCUAGCUGGUCUGAGAGGAUGACCAGCCACACUGGAACUGAGACACGGUCCAGACUCCUACGGGAGGCAGCAGUGGGGAAUAUUGCACAAUGGGCGCAAGCCUGAUGCAGCCAUGCCGCGUGUAUGAAGAAGGCCUUCGGGUUGUAAAGUACUUUCAGCGGGGAGGAAGGGAGUAAAGUUAAUACCUUUGCUCAUUGACGUUACCCGCAGAAGAAGCACCGGCUAACUCCGUGCCAGCAGCCGCGGUAAUACGGAGGGUGCAAGCGUUAAUCGGAAUUACUGGGCGUAAAGCGCACGCAGGCGGUUUGUUAAGUCAGAUGUGAAAUCCCCGGGCUCAACCUGGGAACUGCAUCUGAUACUGGCAAGCUUGAGUCUCGUAGAGGGGGUAGAAUUCCAGGUGUAGCGGUGAAAUGCGUAGAGAUCUGGAGGAAUACCGGUGGCGAAGGCGGCCCCCUGGACGAAGACUGACGCUCAGGUGCGAAAGCGUGGGGAGCAAACAGGAUUAGAUACCCUGGUAGUCCACGCCGUAAACGAUGUCGACUUGGAGGUUGUGCCCUUGAGGCGUGGCUUCCGGAGCUAACGCGUUAAGUCGACCGCCUGGGGAGUACGGCCGCAAGGUUAAAACUCAAAUGAAUUGACGGGGGCCCGCACAAGCGGUGGAGCAUGUGGUUUAAUUCGAUGCAACGCGAAGAACCUUACCUGGUCUUGACAUCCACGGAAGUUUUCAGAGAUGAGAAUGUGCCUUCGGGAACCGUGAGACAGGUGCUGCAUGGCUGUCGUCAGCUCGUGUUGUGAAAUGUUGGGUUAAGUCCCGCAACGAGCGCAACCCUUAUCCUUUGUUGCCAGCGGUCCGGCCGGGAACUCAAAGGAGACUGCCAGUGAUAAACUGGAGGAAGGUGGGGAUGACGUCAAGUCAUCAUGGCCCUUACGACCAGGGCUACACACGUGCUACAAUGGCGCAUACAAAGAGAAGCGACCUCGCGAGAGCAAGCGGACCUCAUAAAGUGCGUCGUAGUCCGGAUUGGAGUCUGCAACUCGACUCCAUGAAGUCGGAAUCGCUAGUAAUCGUGGAUCAGAAUGCCACGGUGAAUACGUUCCCGGGCCUUGUACACACCGCCCGUCACACCAUGGGAGUGGGUUGCAAAAGAAGUAGGUAGCUUAACCUUCGGGAGGGCGCUUACCACUUUGUGAUUCAUGACUGGGGUGAAGUCGUAACAAGGUAACCGUAGGGGAACCUGCGGUUGGAUCACCUCCUUA